rnacentral:rRNA from 1 species
GUCGAGCGGUAACGCGGGAGCAAUCCUGGCGACGAGCGGCGAACGGGUGAGUAAUGCUUCGGAAUCUACCCAGUAGUGGGGAAUAACCAGCCGAAAGGUUGGCUAAUACCGCAUACGUCCUACGGGAGAAAGCGGGGGUCGCAAGACCUCGCGCUAUUGGAUGAGCCGAAGUCGGAUUAGCUAGUUGGUAGGGUAACGGCCUACCAAGGCGACGAUCCGUAGCUGGUCUGAGAGGACGACCAGCCACACUGGGACUGAGACACGGCCCAGACUCCUACGGGAGGCAGCAGUGGGGAAUAUUGGACAAUGGGGGAAACCCUGAUCCAGCGACGCCGCGUGUGUGAAGAAGGCCUGCGGGUUGUAAAGCACUUUUAGUGGGGAUGAAAAGCUCAGGGCUAAUACCUCUGGGUCUUGACCUAACCCACAGAAAAAGCACCGGCUAACUCUGUGCCAGCAGCCGCGGUAAUACAGAGGGUGCAAGCGUUAAUCGGAAUUACUGGGCGUAAAGCGUGCGUAGACGGUUUCGUAAGUCGGGUGUGAAAGCCCCGGGCUCAACCUGGGAAUUGCAUUCGAGACUGCGAAGCUAGGGUGCGGAAGA